UCAGAAUAGAACUGAUAUGGAAGAUUAGUAAUAUAACUAGACCUAAUGUAAACCAUAUACAUGGUAUGUAGCAGUGCAUUGUAGUAUGCUGCUGGUAGUUCUGUUGUAUUGGACACCACUGGUUCAGUGGGGUGAGAUGCACAAGCUGAAGAAUGAAUGGAUGAAGCUGGCUAAAGUUUAGAUUUAUUGACUCCCAAGCAUUGGCGAUGGGUUGGGGAAACUAACUGGGGGGGAAGGUGGAGGAAACAGGCCUAAACGUCUUUAGCCUCCAGAGUGAGAGUGUGUAGCCAUCUUUUUGACCCAGUUUGUCUAAACUACUUUUGUCAAUCUUAGGAGUUACUUUUAGAAAUUUGAGUAAUUACACCAACAUGUACCUUUCAAUGUAGAAUCAGCUGGAAGAGUCUGUUUUCUUUUUGACUUUGCUUCCAUCAUCUCUGCCUUUUGCAUCAAGACAAGAUGGCUGCAAAACACGUCAUAUGGGCAUGCUUUGAACCACUCAGAUUCAAAGUAGGACAAAAAUGGGUCUUCCUGUUUUGAGUAUUAUGCAGAGGUCCUAGCAUUUAUUUUCAGAAUUGUACUGGAUUGCAGAUGAAUCGCAAGGUACUAGGUCUGACAUCCUGGAAGGUGGCUUAGGUUUUGUCAUAUAGCCAAGGAACAGCCUGACUCUGCUUUUGUUGAGGUCAGUAGAGGUUCUUGAGUGCAAAGUCCUUGAGCUGAAAAUUAAAAGGGAACUACUUGCAGGAAUCUGAAUGUCUGGCCUCUGGUAUAUUCUUUACCUUAGUUUGCCAGAGCCUUGGUUUCUUAACUUCCUGGGCAUACUAUAGAGAGGGGUAGGGUAGAUUCGCAUUUUGCAGACUAAAUCUGAGAUGCUUAAGCUUUUGUACUCAGGAAGGUAGUUGACAGAGUAUUGUGAUUAUCUGAAAGAUCUCUCACUCUAUAGAGCACAACAACAAAAAGUAGUUGACUGGAAUCUUUUAUUUCAUUUUAAUUUUUGUUUAAGAGUUUUGGAAUGUGCUUGCAGAAGUUCCUUCAGGCUUUUUUGUAUAGCUGAAAUAGUUAUGAUGCCGUUGGAACCCAAUUGGAGAAAAGAAGUUUCACUUACUAAUGCCUCCUCUUCCAGAAAUAGUAAACUAGCAGUUCCUCUAAGGUAGAGUAAGAAUCCUAUUGCCAGUCCUGUUUGUUACAUCCCAGUAGGGCACGUCAGAGGAGCUGACGGUUUCUGAAGUGAAAUUUGUCACAUUGUGGCAACCUGUAAAUGUCCCAAAAAUAUUUGAGAUGUUCCUCUCCUCCAGUGUAUUGAAACUGUUCUUGAAGAACUCUGCAGCUUUCCUUAUUGGCAUGUCUGCCUUGACAAACACAGUCUCAGCAAACACCUUUUUGACUUUUAGACAAAGUUGGCCACUUAAAUAAAACAGUUAUGGUUUGUCUCAGUUCCUACCACCUGUAGAGAUUUCUGCCUUAAGUAUUAAAGUAAUGUAAAUAUUCAUAAUUUAAAGAAACUUGUAGAAACUAGAAAAAAUGUAUUUGGCAUAGUGAAAGAAAAAGGCACUAUUACUGUUGUCUAAGUAGAAUCUGGGCUUUUACCUUGCCUCUGCUAUUAUUUAUCAACUUUAAUUCUUGAUAUUCACAAUAUUGAAGUUAUUAAAAGUUUGGGUAAUCCAGUGUGGUCUGUGUUUCUGUUUUUUAGUGUGGGUUUAAAUACUGACUGAGUGAAAGGUUGUCUUGACACCUGAGAUCAUGGAUGCUGCAGAGGGGGGCAAAUGUAACCUUUUAACAAAACACUCUUAUGUUCAGUCAGGCAGAGCUUUAGCCACAAGUGUCUUCCCUGAAAUAGGGGAAACUGAAGAAUUCAAAGCUAAAAUACUAGGGGGAGUACAUAAAAGAAGUAAGAAGUAAGUAUUCUGGAAAUCCUCUCUGUGAGAUGAGAAAAGAAGGCAUAGGAGAUCUAAGUCAACAGGGUUGCUACUUCAAGAAAAGCAACUGUAUUUUGUGAUUCAAGUACUGUAAAGAAUACAAGAAGUUGCACAACUCUUGUCUGUUUAAUGUUUGGAGAGGAAGGGAAAGGUCUUGUGCAAGAAUCAAGAAGCCCAUGAACAGGAGCGGUGAAAGGAAACUGGUUUGGUAGUGGAGGAGGAGAAAGGGGUCUGUUGCCAAGAAAGGGAAGAGUCUCCUGUGUUCAGUGCACAAAUACCAGUGCUCAAACUCUUAUUAGCCAAAGAGUAGGAAAUACCCACAGAAAUAAGGGAUACUCCCUUGUUUCCCCUUCCCAGUCUCGCAUUGUGGCCCUCCCUAAAUCAGUCUGCUGUCCACUUACCCUCAAGGAGGUCGUAGUUUCAUCUAGGUUUUCUCUUCUCAUGCAAUAAGAGAACAGCUUCUAAUCCUUUAGAGAAGGGUACAUUGUUAUUUUGUUUAACUGCUCUAACCUCAGGUACUGGAAUUAUCUACAAGGGUACCUAAUUCAUGUUAAGAGAUGCAAUCUAUUUGACUGCAGACAGGGGCCCUGCUUAGGGCAGAGAUAAGGAGAGUUUGGGACACAGAUGUGAUGACUCUGACAACUUUCUGUGUUCUGCCCAGCAUCCCUCUACAGGUUUGGGGGGUUCCCCCACCCUUUAACACUCCUAUCAGGUUUCAGACAACAUGGCCAUGCUAGUGUCCUAAUCCAUUUGAAUUAAUUUAGGAGGUCAUAAGACUUCUAAGUGUUUCCUGGAAAAUAAACAAAAGCUGCUUUUAAUUUAUAAUUUUUGCUUCUUGGAUAUUCAGACUCUUCCCUCUCUCUACCCCCUCACCCUAAACCAUUUCAUUAAUGAUAGAAAUACCUCAUGGAUCAGGCUGUUCCUUUGAAAAAACUGUUGCCAUUUGUCUUCAAUCCUGUGUUCACUAGAACUCCCUCUAAAAAUAGGCAUGCUCUUCAAUAAGACCCAACGUAUUGUGUGAGUCCUAGACCUGUGAAUUUGUGUUCCCUUACUAGCUUAUCAAAACACAGUUUCUUAAGAUUUUGAUUCCUGCUUGUCAAAAUGUUUCCCCAUCAUUAUAUUUUAAAAGAAAAUAA